CUUAGCAUAUCAAUAAGCGGAGGAAAAGAAACCAACAGGGAUUGCCCUAGUAACGGCGAGUGAAGCGGCAACAGCUCAAAUUUGAAAUCUGGCUCUUUUAGAGUCCGAGUUGUAAUUUGCAGAGGGCGCUUUGGCGUUGGCAGCGGUCCAAGUUCCUUGGAACAGGACGUCACAGAGGGUGAGAAUCCCGUACGUGGUCGCUGGCCUUCGCCGUGUAAAGCCUCUUCGACGAGUCGAGUUGUUUGGGAAUGCAGCUCUAAAUGGGAGGUAAAUUUCUUCUAAAGCUAAAUACUGGCCAGAGACCGAUAGCGCACAAGUAGAGUGAUCGAAAGAUGAAAAGCACUUUGGAAAGAGAGUCAAAUAGCACGUGAAAUUGUUAAAAGGGAAGCGCUUGCAGCCAGACUUGCCUGUAGUUGUUCAUCCAGGCUCUUUGCCUGGUGCACUCUUCUAUGGGCAGGCCAGCAUCAGUUUGGGCGGUUGGAUAAAGGUCUCUGUCAUGUACCUCCUUUCGGGGAGGCCUUAUAGGGGAGACGACAUGCAACCAGCCUGGACUGAGGUCCGCGCAUUCGCUAGGAUGCUGGCGUAAUGGCUGUAAGCGGCCCGUCUUGAAACACGGACCAAGGAGUCUAACAUCUAUGCGAGUGUUUGGGUGUCAAGCCCGAACGCGCAAUGAAAGUGAACGGAGGUGGGAACCCUUAAGGGUGCACCAUCGACCGAUCCUGAUGUCUUCGGAAGGAUUUGAGUAAGAGCAUAGCUGUUGGGACCCGAAAGAUGGUGAACUAUGCUUGAAUAGGGUGAAGCCAGAGGAAACUCUGGUGGAGGCUCGCAGCGGUUCUGACGUGCAAAUCGAUCGUCAAAUUUGGGC
rnacentral:rRNA from 1 species